CAGUCGCCGCGGUAAAACGUAGGGUGCGAGCGUUAAUCGGAAUUACUGGGCGUAAAGCGUGCGCAGGCGGUUAUAUAAGUCAGAUGUGAAAUCCCCGGGCUCAACCUGGGAACUGCAUUUGAGACUGUAUGGCUAGAGUGUGUCAGAGGGGGGUAGAAUUCCACGUGUAGCAGUGAAAUGCGUAGAUAUGUGGAGGAAUACCGAUGGCGAAGGCAGCCCCCUGGGAUAACACUGACGCUCAUGCACGAAAGCGUGGGGAGCAAACAGGAUUAGAUACCCCGGUAGUCCCUGUCUCUUAUAC
rnacentral:rRNA from 1 species